rnacentral:rRNA from 1 species
GACGAACGCUGGCGGCGCGCUUAACACAUGCAAGUCGAACGGAAAGGCCUCUUUCCCUCGUGGAUUGCGGGUACUCGAGUGGCGAACGGGUGAGUAACACGUGAGUGAUCUGCCCCCAACUUGGGUAUAAGCCUGGGAAACUGGGUCUAAUUCCCGAUAGGACUGCAGGGUGGUGCCUGUGGUGGAAAACGAUUUUCUAGUGGUUGGGGAUGAGCUCGCGGCCUAUCAGCUUGUUGGUGGGGUAAUGGCCUACCAAGGCGGCGACGGGUAGCCGGCCUGAGAGGGUGGACGGCCACAUUGGGACUGAGAUACGGCCCAGACUCCUACGGGAGGCAGCAGUGGGGAAUAUUGCACAAUGGGCGGAAGCCUGAUGCAGCGACGCCGCGUGGGGGAUGACGGCCUUCGGGUUGUAAACUCCUUUCGACCGCGAGGAAGCCACCUGGUUGGAAGGGUGGUGACGGUAGUGGUAGAAGAAGCACCGGCUAACUACGUG